rnacentral:rRNA from 1 species
CCUGAUCCAGCCAUGCGCGUGAGUGAAGAAGGCCUUCGGGUUGUAAAGCUCUUUCGGCCGGGAAGAAAUCGCAUGGGCCAAUACCCUGUGUGGAUGGACGGUACCGGAAUAAGAAGCACCGGCUAACUACGUGCCAGCAGCCGCGGUAAUACGGUAGGGUGCGAGCGUUAAUCGGAAUUACUGGGCGUAAAGCGUGCGCAGGCGGUUUUGUAAGACAGGCGUGAAAUCCCCGGGCUUAACCUGGGAACUGCGCUUGUGACUGCAAGGCUAGAGUACGGCAGAGGGGGGUGGAAUUCCACGUGUAGCAGUGAAAUGCGUAGAGAUGUGGAGGAACACCAAUGGCGAAGGCAGCCCCCUGGGUCGAUACUGACGCUCAUGCACGAAAGCGUGGGUAGCAAACAGGAUUAGAUACCCUGGUAGUCCACGCCCUAAACUAUGUCAACUAGGUGUUGGGUGGGUAAAACCAUUUAGUACCGUAGCUAACGCGUGAAGUUGACCGCCUGGGGAGUACGGCCGCAAGGUUAAAACUCAAAGGAAUUGACGGGGAC